UCCGGAGGGUGCAAGCGUUGUUCGGAUUUAUUGGGCGUAAAGCGCGUGUAGGCGGUUUCUUAAGUCUGAUGUGAAAGCCCUGGGCUCAACCCAGGAAGUGCAUUGGAUACUGGGAGACUUGAAUACGGGAGAGGGUAGUGGAAUUCCUAGUGUAGGAGUGAAAUCCGUAGAUAUUAGGAGGAACACCGGUGGCGAAGGCGGCUACCUGGACCGAUAUUGACGCUGAGACGCGAAAGCGUGGGGAGCAAACAGG
rnacentral:rRNA from 1 species